CCCUUAGAUGUUCUGGGCCGUACGCGCGCUACACUGAUGCAUUCAACGAGCCUAUCCUUGACCGACAGGUCCGGGUAAUCUUUGAAUCUGCAUCGUGACGGGGAUAGAUUAUUGCAAUUAUUAAUCUUCAACGAGGAAUGCCUAGUAGGCGCAAGUCAUCAGCUUGCGUCGAUUACGUCCCUGCCCUUUGUACACACCGCCCGUCGCUCCUACCGAUUGGGUGUGCUGGUGAAAUGUUCGGAUCGGCCGUUUGUCGCGGUUUCCGCGCCAUGUGGCUGAGAAGUUCAUUAAACCCUCCCACCUAGAGGAAGGAGAAGUCGUAACA
rnacentral:rRNA from 1 species